rnacentral:lncRNA from 1 species
UUAGGAUAGUGUCUAGAAUGCACAAACAAAAUGCCGCUGUUUGGAUAUAACAAUGGAUUAUUUUGAACCAAACCAACAUUUGUUAUUGAAGUAACAGUCCUGGGAGUGCAUUCUGACGAAGAACACCAAAGCAUCAGUAGAAGACUCCUGACUCUCCUCCACCAGUCAUACAAGGAUAAUGCCUAAUGCUUCCCAUUAAAAAGAGAGCUGGCCCAAGCAAGCACAGGUUAUACCUGAAGCAUGAGGACUUGCAGCAAGUGGUGAACUUCAUCAAUAACUACGGAGAGGAUAAUGCAAUAGUAUUACCAGGAAGCCACCCAGGACACAAACACUUUGGUGGAAAGCUGCUGCCAUCCCAUGUGACAAAAGCAGCAGUGUGCCAUCUCUACAAUGAAUCGAUGACAACACUUGAGGUACGUGCAGUUGGGCUGUGUGUUAUCAUUUUAACUUCCAGUUUCCAAUAUUAUGUUUCUGUAUGCAGUGCUGCUGCUCUGCACAUUUGUAGAAUAAAUGUUUCAUGUCGAAUGAGAGAUCCAUUUCUGUCAGUCUCCUAUUUGCCUGAGGGGGCCUGCAAGGCAUAAGUAGAAAGAACUUUCAUUCCAUGUUUAUCAUCUCAAGUAUUCGGGCCAACAACCUACAUUGAUGACAGGGCUGUUGCCAUUGAUGACAGGAACUGUGAUGGUUACGAGCCACAAACAUGCCUCAUUUUCCUUUUCCCACGCCUGGAAUGGCCCCACGUUGACAUCCCCGUGCAAGUGACUGAUUGAAGCUCCCACACACGGCAUUGUGUUUCUCCAUCUCUUUUCUGGGAAGCUGUUCUUGGAAACACUCUUUUCCGAGGUGAUAAUGUGGAGGCGCCCAGGUGGAGGAAAAGGAAGUAAUCAGCCAUUCACUAUCACAGCCGAGGGAUUCCUGAGAAAACCAGCAAACCAGGCUGUCGUCUUGGGAAACAGUGGAUGUAAAGAAUCUAGCUAAAGCAUAUACUGCAAAUUGAAUGUACAGUUACGUAAGCUUGCCUUGCCGUGCAAUGCUGCUGAAGUAACAUAGCUAGCUAACUAUUUACUUGCUUAUUGUGUAGUGGAGGAUAAAAAUAACUGUAUGCCUAUGUAUGUGUAGCUAGCUACAGUAUGUUGCCGAUCUGUGUAUGGACCCUAAAAUGUUCUGAACUAAUAUUCA